rnacentral:tRNA from 2 species
GCCCAGGUGGCGGAAUCGGCAGACGCGCUAGCUUGAGGGGCUAGUGCCCGUUUAGGGCGUGGAGGUUCGAGUCCUCUCCUGGGCA